CCUACGGGGGGCAGCAGUGGGGAAUAUUGCGCAAUGGGCGAAAGCCUGACGCAGCGACGCCGCGUGCGGGAUGAAGGUCUUCGGAUCGUAAACCUCUGUCAGCAGGGAAGAACGGUCACUGUGCUAAUCAGCAGUGAAUUGACGGUACCUGCAAAGGACGCACCGGCUAACUCCGUGCCAGCAGCCGCGGUAAUACGGAGGGUGCGUGCGUUAAUCGGAUUUACUGGGCGUAAAGCGCUCGUAGGCGGUAUGUCAAGUCAAGGGUGAAAUCCCGGCGCUCAACGUGGGAACUGCCUUUGAAACUGGCAAACUGGAGAGUGUGUGAGGAUAGUGGAAUGCAAGGUGUAGGAGUGAAAUCCGUAGAGAUC
rnacentral:rRNA from 1 species